UACGUAGGGUGCGAGCGUUAAUCGGAAUUACUGGGCGUAAAGCGUGCGCAGGCGGUCUUGCAAGACAGAUGUGAAAUCCCCGGGCUUAACCUGGGAACUGCAUUUGUGACUGCAAGGCUGGAGUACGGUAGAGGGGGAUGGAAUUCCGCGUGUAGUGGUGAAAUGCGUAGAGAUGCGGAGGAACACCAGUGGCGAAAGCGACUUUCUGGUCCUUAACUGACGCUGAGGCGCGAAAGCAUGGGGAGCGAACGGG
rnacentral:rRNA from 1 species